rnacentral:snRNA from 1 species
AUCGCUUCUCGGCCUUUUGGCUAAGAUCAAGUGUAAAACCCCGUCUGUUAGGCACUUCUUACUCAACUUGACAUUAUAGUUAACUAUUACACAUAAUUUCUGUAUCUAUACAUAAGAUUUCAAUUAUUCUUAUACAGUACUAGCAUUAAAUACUCUCUGAAGUGACAGUAU